GAUAGCUCAAUCGGGUAGAGCAACCGCGCAAGCGGCGUGUCGCGGGUUCGAAUCCCGCUCCAGAA
rnacentral:tRNA from 1 species